rnacentral:rRNA from 1 species
GACGAACGCUGGCGGCGUGCUUAACACAUGCAAGUCGAGCGGUAAGGCCCUUUCGGGGGUACACGAGCGGCGAACGGGUGAGUAACACGUGGGUGACCUGCCCUCAGCUCUGGGAUAAGCCUGGGAAACCGGGUCUAAUACUGGAUAUGACUCCAUGACGCAUGUUGUGGGGUGGAAAGCCUUGUGCGGCUGAGGAUGGGCCCGCGGCCUAUCAGCUUGUUGGUGGGGUGANGGCCUACCAAGGCGACGACGGGUAGCCGGCCUGAGAGGGCGACCGGCCACACUGGGACUGAGACACGGCCCAGACUCCUACGGGAGGCAGCAGUGGGGAAUCUUGCGCAAUGGGCGAAAGCCUGACGCAGCGACGCCGCGUGAGGGAUGACGGCCUGGUGUAG